UCGAUGGAGAGUUUGAUCCUGGCUCAGGACGAACGCUGGCGGCGUGCCUAACACAUGCAAGUCGAACGAGGUCCAUCCAGUGGCAACACCGGUGAAGACCUAGUGGCGAACGGGUGAGUAACACGUGAGGAACCUGCCCCGAAGACCGGGAUAACCCUCCGAAAGGAGAGCUAAUACCGGAUGUCCCCACCUGGCCGCAUGACCGGGUGAGGAAAUGGAUUCCGCUUCGGGAGGGCCUCGCGGCCUAUCAGCUAGUUGGCGGGGUAACGGCCCACCA
rnacentral:rRNA from 1 species